rnacentral:lncRNA from 1 species
AUACGAUGCACUGUUGGUCAGAUGAGAGGGCUAUAAAACUUUAAAAAUACUCAGGCAGCCUGUUCAAUUUAAUGCGAUGUUAUUCUUUUAAAAUUUAGCACAAUCUUUUAGAUGUGAGCAGUUGAAACCUUCCAGUAGAAAUAUCAGAAAAACUUAUAAAUCAAUUGAAAAGAUUACAAAAUUUUAAGAUAGAAGUAGCAACCACAGAUAAUAAUGUGCUGAGUCUCAUCUGAAGCCAGCAAGUCUCAGGUCAUGAUACUACCUGGGUAUCACUGCUGGCUAUUCAGCGUCCAACACCUGUUCAGUUAGAAGGUGGUGAAUCCGGCCACCCAGCACACAGAAUUGCUCUCUGCACCACAUCACCACUGCUGGGGCAUGUGGGAGGGCUGGAGGUAUUUAUAAAUGUAUUACAUAAUAAUACAUAAGUAUAGUAUGUAUAGGAAAAAAGCAAAUAAUGAAUACAUGUUUAAAUAUAAAUUACUAAACAUGAUAUAGAAUUCUAUAUUGAUUUAAAAUUAUAUGCCUGAUUUUAUAGGGACUAAUGCCCUUGCAUUCCGUGAGUCUUUGAAAGGGGGACUAAUUUGGCCAUUUCAGCCAGGAUUGAUUGUGUUUUGGAUUUACUUUCUUAGCUGUGCUGGGUGAGAGUUUUGGAGGUCUUCCCCCAGCAUUUUCUUUCAUAACAGCUCUUACUAAACAAUCAGGGAUCAAUGUAAGAUUCAUAUAUUACAUAUACAUUCUAAGUAUGUACUUAGGGAACCAAGCAAAUGGUUUGGGGCAAGGGUGCUCCCCAUCCAUUGGACCCAUUAG